rnacentral:rRNA from 1 species
UACGUAGGGUCCGAGCGUUGUUCGGAAUUACUGGGCGUAAAGAGCUUGUAGGCGGUUCGUCGCGUCGAUCGUGAAAACGUGCAGCUCAACUGCACGCUUGCGGUCGAUACGGGCGGACUAGAGUACUGCAGGGGAGACUGGAAUUCCUGGUGUAGCGGUGAAAUGCGCAGAUAUCUGAAGGAACAUCAGUGGCAGAAAGCGACUUCCUGGACCAAUACUGACGCUCAUGUGCGAAAGCGUGGGGAGCAAACAGG